AUUGAACGCUGGCGGCAUGCCUUACACAUGUAAGUCGAACGGCAGCAUGAUCUAGCUUGCCAGAUUGAUGGCGAGUGGCGAACGGGUGAGUAAUACAUCGGAACGUGCCCUGUAGUGGGGGAUAACUAGUCGAAAGAUUAGCUAAUACCGCAUACGACCUGAGGGUGAAAGUGGGGGACCGCAAGGCCUCAUGCUAUAGGAGCGGCCGAUGUCUGAUUAGCUAGUUGGUGAGGUAAAGGCUCACCAAGGCGACGAUCAGUAGCUGGUCUGAGAGGACGAUCAGCCACACUGGGACUGAGACACGGCCCAGACUCCUACGGGAGGCAGCAGUGGGGAAUUUUGGACAAUGGGCGAAAGCCUGAUCCAGCAAUGCCGCGUGUGUGAAGAAGGCCUUCGGGUUGUAAAGCACUUUUGUCCGGAAAGAAAUGGCUCUGGUUAAUACCUGGGGUCGAUGACGGUACCGGAAGAAUAAGGACCGGCUAACUACGUG
rnacentral:rRNA from 1 species